rnacentral:rRNA from 1 species
UACGAGAGGCCCAAACGUUAUUCGGAAUUACUGGGCUUAAAGAGUUCGUAGGCGGCGCAGAAAGUAGGGUGUGAAAGCCCUCGGCUCAACCGAGGAAUUGCGCUCUAAACUACUGUGCUUGAGGAAGCUAGAGGUGAGCGGAACUGAUGGUGGAGCGGUGAAAUGCGUUGAUAUCAUCAGGAACACCGGAGGCGAAGGCGGCUCACUGGGGCUUUUCUGACGCUGAGGCACGAAAGCUAGGGUAGCGAACGGG